rnacentral:rRNA from 1 species
GGAGGAAUAUUGGUCAAUGGACGAAAGUCUGAACCAGCCAUGCCGCGUGAAGGAAUAAGGCCCUAUGGGUCGUAAACUUCUUUUGUAUGUGAGCAAUAAGGUCCACGUGUGGUCCGAUGAGAGUAGCAUACGAAUAAGCAUCGGCUAACUCCGUGCCAGCAGCCGCGGUAAUACGGAGGAUGCAAGCGUUAUCCGGAUUCAUUGGGUUUAAAGGGUGCGUAGGCGGCUUGGUAAGUCAGCGGUGAAAUUCCAGUGCUCAACAUUGGCCGUGCCGUUGAUACUGCUGGGCUUGAAUGCGGAUGCCGUGGGAGGAAUGUGUGGUGUAGCGGUGAAAUGCAUAGAUAUCACACAGAACACCGAUUGCGAAGGCAUCUCACGAAUCCGCAAUUGACGCUGAGGCACGAAAGUGUGGGGAUC